CACCGGGACUGAGACACGGCCCAGACUCCUACGGGAGGCAGCAGUCGAGGAUCAUUGUCAAUGCGCGGAAGCGUGAACAUGCGACGCUGCGUGGAGGAUGAAGGCCUUCGGGUCGUAAACUCCUGUCAUUCGGGAAAAACGGGCGGGCCGUUAAUAACGGUUCGCAGUGAUGGUACCGGAAGAGGAAGCCACGGCUAACUCUGUGCCAGCAGCCGCGGUAAUACAGAGGUGGCAAGCGUUGUUCGGAUUUACUGGGCGUAAAGGGUGCGUAGGUGGUUUCGUGUGUCGGGCGUGAAAGCCCACUGCUCAACGGUGGAAAUGCGUUCGAAACUGCGAGACUUGAGUGCAGGAAGGGAGAGCGGAAUUCUUGGUGUAGCGGUGAAAUGCGUUGAUAUCAAGAAGAACACCGGUGGCGAAGGCGGCUCUCUGGAAUGUUACUGACACUGAGGCACGAAAGCUGGGGGAGCAAACAGGAUUAGAUACCCUGGUAGUCCCAGCCGUAAACGGUGUGCACUUGGUGUGGGCGGUAUUGACCCCGUCCGUGCCGGAGCUAACGCGUUAAGUGCACCGCCUGGGGAGUACGACCGCAAGGUUAAAACUCAAAGAAAUUGACGGGGGCCCGCACAAGCGGAGGAGCAUGUGGCUUAAUUCGAUGCAACGCGAAGAACCUUACCAGGGCUUGACAUGAUACUGCACGCCCGCCGAAAGGUGGGAAGCCUUCGAGGGUGUAUCACAGGUGCUGCAUGGCUGUCGUCAGUUCGUGCCGUGAGGUGUUGGGUUAAGUCCCGCAACGAACGCAACCCUUGUAGUUAGUUGCUACCGUAGGUGAUGAGCCUGCGGGCACUCUAACCAGACUGCCCGUACAAGCGGGAGGAAGGUGGGGAUGACGUCAAGUCAGUAUGGCCCUUACGUCCUGGGCUGCACACGUGCUACAAUGGUCGGUACAGUGGGAAGCAAUGCCGCGAGGUGGAGCAAAUCCUCAAAACCGGCCUCAGUUCGGAUUGGAGUCUGAAACUCGACUCCAUGAAGCUGGAUUCGCUAGUAACGGCGUAUCAGCUACGGCGCCGUGAAUACGUUCCCGGGCCUUGUACACACCGCCCGUCACAUCAUGAAAGCCGUCUGCACCCGAAGUCGCUGAGCCAACUUUUACGAGAGGCAGGUGCCGAAGGUGUGGGUGGUGAUUGGGAUGAAGUCGUAACAAGGUA
rnacentral:rRNA from 1 species